rnacentral:rRNA from 1 species
UACAGAGGCCUCGAGCGUUAGGCGGAAUCACUGGGCUUAAAGCGUGUGUAGGCGGAUGUCUAAGUGUCUUGUGAAAUCCCACGGCUCAACCGUGGAACUGCUGGGCAUACUGGACAUCUCGAGGCACUCAGGGGCGAGCGGAACAAGUGGUGGAGCGGUGAAAUGCGUAGAUAUCACUUGGAACGCCAAUGGUGAAGACAGCUCGCUGGGGGUGUCCUGACGCUGAGGCGCGAAAGCCAGGGGAGCGAACGGG